GAAUUUUGGACAAUGGGGGAAACCCUGAUCCAGCCAUCCCGCGUGUAUGAUGAAGGUUUUCGGAUCGUAAAGCUCUGUCCUUGGGGAAGAAGGCGGCCAUUUAUGGUCACUUGACGGUACCCAAGGAGGAAGCCCCGGCUAACUACGUGCCAGCAGCCGCGGUAAUACGUAGGGGGCAAGCGUUGUCCGGAAUUAUUGGGCGUAAAGGGUGCGUAGGCGGCCUUUUAAGUCAGAUGUGAAAGACCACGGCUUAACCGUGGGGUUGCAUUUGAAACUGGAGGGCUUGAGUAUCGGAGAGGGUAGUGGAAUUCCCAGUGUAGCGGUGGAAUGCGUAGAUAUUGGGAGGAACACCAGUGGCGAAGGCGACUACCUGGACGAAAACUGACGCUGAGGCACGAAAGCUAGGGGAGCAAACA
rnacentral:rRNA from 1 species